rnacentral:ncRNA from 1 species
UAAUAGUUUUAUCCUGGCUACAAAUUUGAUGCUUAAAAAAAAGUAUGCAUGGUAUCUUUGAAAGUUAUUUUUAUUAUAUUAUUUAAAAAAUUUUUUAUAACUCGCAGCAUAAAAUAUUAAACAAUUGUUUCAAGACUGAUUUAAUUUUAUAACUAGGUUUGGCUAAACAUUGUGCCAGCAGCCGCGGUUAUACUCUCAAACCAAGUCAAAUUUCUUCAGUAUGUAAAAAUUUUAACAAACUAAUUUUUGAUAUAAACGAAAAGUAAAAUUUAUUGUUUUUAUUUUAAACAUUACUUUAGUAAAAAAAAAUCGAUUUAAGAAAGCUUUAACAAAAACUAGGAUUAGAUACCCUACUAUUUCAGCUUUAACAAACAUACUAAAAUAUUAAAAGUUAUGGUCUCUAAAUUUAAAGGAUUUGGCGGUAAUUUAGUCCAGUUAGAGGAACCUGUUUUAUAAACGAUAUACCACGCAAAAUCUUACCUAUUUUCAGUUUGUAUACCGUCAUUAUUAGAUAACUUUUAAAAAAAAAGUUAUUACAAUAAGCAUAAUUUAAUAUAUUAGAUCAAGGUGCAGCGUAUAAAUAGGAACUUAAUGGGUUACAAUAAAUUUUAUUUAUUACAAAUAUUUUCUUGAAAAAGUUUAUUGAAGGAGGAUUUAAUAGUAAAACUAAUUUAAUAAGUUAGUUUGAUAAAGGACCUAAAUUGUGUACAUAUCGCCCGUCACUUUCAUUACUAAAUGAAAUAAGUCGUAACAUAGUAGGUGUACUGGAAAGUGCGCCUGGUUUUAA